AUUGACAUUGCAGCUUGUAUUGUUAAUAUGGAGUUAUACCAUGGUUGUUUAUCGGGAUCCGGGUUCUGUUCCUGUAAAUUGGUCAUCCAACAUGAGUGAAGAAAGUGUUGAAACUGGCAAUUCUACUACUUUAUCUCAUAAUGAUGCCUUGAAACUGGCAAUUCUACUACUUUAUCUCAUAAUGAUGCCCCUGGAGUAGUAGCUUCUGCUUGGUCUCCAGUCGAUCGAGGGGGGCAAGAUGUAAAAUAUUGCAAUCGCUGCCAAUCCUACAAACCUCCACGUUGUCAUCAUUGUUCUAUUUGUAAGUCUGUUAUAUUAGGUCUUUAUUUUGAUAUUUUGCAUUUUUUAUUUAUGUUUGUCAUCUCAUAUGUGCUUAAAAUAUUCACUUCAGUAUGAACCCAACCAGAUAAAUGUGAAUCUUAUAAGAAUUAUUACAUGUACAUAAACUUGUCUUCACAGUUGCACAAACAUUAUUUUACUAACCACAAAUCUUUAAUGCAUUCAUGGGAAUUAAAGUUUUGAGGUUGACUGAGGGCCUGAGAGGUAAAAAUAACAAAUGAACAAACUAAGUAACUAACUAUAUGAGAUGAUAAUAUAGGUGUGACAGUGCUGAAUGCUUAUAUUGGCAGUCAAUGUCUCCCUUGUAUACGACAGGUUGAAAAUAAAAUAAUAUCCAUAUAUUUCGAACAUCGUCCACCCUACUUCCGGCAAGGACUGUCCACUAUUCUAACAGUUACUCAUUCCAGGUAAUUAUCUAGACAGCCACUCCUAGUCAUCCAUUG
rnacentral:lncRNA from 1 species